rnacentral:rRNA from 1 species
GGCGAACGGGUGAGUAACACGUGGGUGACCUGCCCUCCACUCUGGGAUAAGCCCGGGAAACUGGGUCUAAUACCGGAUAGGACCACUGAUCGCAUGGUCGGUGGUGGAAAGUUUUUUCGGUGGGGGAUGGGCCCGCGGCCUAUCAGCUUGUUGGUGGGGUGAUGGCCUACCAAGGCGGUGACGGGUAGCCGGCCUGAGAGGGCGACCGGCCACACUGGGACUGAGACACGGCCCAGACUCCUACGGGAGGCAGCAGUGGGGAAUAUUGCGCAAUGGGCGGAAGCCUGACGCAGCGACGCCGCGUGGGGGAUGACGGCCUUCGGGUUGUAAACCUCUUUCGCCAGGGACGAAGAGCAAUUGACGGUACCUGGAGAAGAAGCACCGGCCAACUACGUGCCAGCAGCCGCGGUAACACGUAGGGUGCGAGCGUUGUCCGGAAUUAUUGGGCGUAAAGAGCUCGUAGGCGGUGUGUCGCGUCGGCCGUGAAAACUUGGGGCUUAACUCUGAGCGUGCGGUCGAUACGGGCAUCACUUGAGUUCG